UACGAAGGGGGCUAGCGUUGCUCGGAAUUACUGGGCGUAAAGCGCACGUAGGCGGUUUCUUAAGUCGGAGGUGAAAUCCUGGAGCUCAACUCCAGAACUGCCUUCGAUACUGGGAAACUUGAGUUCGGGAGAGGUGAGUGGAACUGCGAGUGUAGGGGUGAAAUUCGUAGAUAUUCGCAAGAACACCAGUGGCGAAGGCGGCUCACUGGCCAGAUACUGACGCUGAGGUGCGAAAGCGUGGGGAGCAAACAGG
rnacentral:rRNA from 1 species